ACAGACUCAUUGACAGCGUGUGACGUCACCACGAUGGGUCCAGGAAUAUUCAGGACCGCCACAAAUUUUUUUUCAGAUUGUAGAUUAUAUUGGAUGUUCUGUGGAUUGUAGUACGUACUUAGCAGGUCAUUUUAAAACCAUAGAAAUGCCAACGAAAUGUUGUGUACCGAAUUGCCGGGGCAAUUGCAAAAAUGGGCCAAGACCAUCAAUGCUCCAAGCAUUCUUCAGACAAAAUUCUGGAUUUUAUUGAAAAUUUGUUCCAGCAACCGUCAACCCAAUGGGAAAGUUGCAAACUCAGUAUGUAUAAAUUGUUAGUUAUAAGAGUAAAUGUAUUUGAGUACCUUGUGUACUAGUCAUGUAGGAUAAUAACCAGGAUAAUGUCAAGUACGUAAAAGUGUGUUGUGGCUGUCAGAAGUACAAUGGAUAAAAAAAACUAUAAAUACAAAUGCAAAGUGCCUUCUUGUCAAAAUGUAUCGGGUACAAACAAACAUUUUUUUUCUUUUCCGAAAGCGACAAAACAAAGGCAAAUAUGGUUCAUUGCUUUAAACAAUGCAUUUCCCGGCGAUGUUGAAUAUACUGACAAAAAAGUUUAUUUAUGUGAAGAUCAUCUUACUAAUAACUUUUUCACUAGUACCUUACGCACCAGAUUACACAAAUUUGCCGUACCAACAAUAUUUAAUAAUUGUAAUAACAAUAUUUCCGAUAGAUUUUCUAUUACUAAUGAACACGAUUAUUGUUCGUCGCACGUGAAUAAUAUUAGCGAAAGAUGUGUAACACCAACGGGGUACAAUAAUUUUUGCUCAGAUCAAAUAACUGAUCCUCGUAAUAGUUUAAUUUCGUCAACUCCUCAUCAACAAAAGAGAUCAUGUAGUCCUUCUGCCAUUAACUCUUCAACAAAAAAAAGAAAAAACAG